GAGGUAAACAGUGCUGUUAACCAUUCCCGCUUCUUAUCCGCCGAUAGUAGUCGGAGGACACGGGGGAGAUCCGUCCUCUCCAGGGCCGAAGUGGAGUUGGCUUCGGGGUUAACUCCCAAUUACUCUCUUCUCUCGCCGCUCACGGCGUGGAGCACCAUAAAAAAAAGGAAACAGCGGUUGUGCUGAGAAACGGCUUUAUUAUAACGCACCGUUAUUGUUUUUCCUGACUGUUCUGCCUAACCGCUCCGUCUCUUCUCUUCACACCUUUUCUUC